CAAUAGCGUAUAUUUAAGUUGUUGCAGUUAAAAAGCUCGUAGUUGGAUUUCGGAUGGGAUCUGCCGGUCCGUCUUUGCGAUGUGUACUGGUAGGUCCUAUCUUGUUGUCGGGGACCAGCUCCUGGGCUUCACUGUCCGGGACUGGGAGCCGACGAAGUUACUUUGAGUAAAUUAGAGUGUUCAAAGCAAGCCUACGCUCUGAAUAUAUUAGCAUGGAAUAACACGAUAGGACUCUGGCUUAUCUUGUUGGUCUGUGAGACCAGAGUAAUGAUUAAGAGGGACAGUCGGGGACAUUCGUAUUUCAUUGUCAGAGGUGAAAUUCUUGGAUUUAUGAAAGACGAACUUCUGCGAAAGCAUUUGUCAAGGAUGUUUUCAUUAA
rnacentral:rRNA from 1 species